rnacentral:rRNA from 1 species
GAUGAACGCUGGCGGCGUGCUUAACACAUGCAAGUCGAACGGACUUUAGGAGCUUGCUCCUGAAGUUAGUGGCGGACGGGUGAGUAACGCGUGGGUAACCUGCCCUAUGCAGGGGGAUAACGUUUGGAAACGAACGCUAAUACCGCAUAACCUAGUCGGUUCGCAUGAACGGAUUAGCAAAGAUUUUAUCGGCAUAGGAUGGACCCGCGUUAGAUUAGCUAGUUGGUGAGAUAACAGCCCACCAAGGCAACGAUCUAUAGCCGGCCUGAGAGGGUGAACGGCCACACUGGGACUGAGACACGGCCCAGACUCCUACGGGAGGCAG